GGCCAUGACCUCCGACAAUUGGGAAAUUCAAGGCGGGGUAGCACAAAGGAUGGAAGAGGCGACAUUGAAGGUCUCCCGGUAUUCAGCUGAAGAGAGGAAAGACAGAAUUCUCAGAUACUUAAAGAAGAGAAGUCAAAGGAAUUUCAACAAGACUAUCAAGUAUGCCUGUCGCAAAACCCUAGCCGACAAGAGGGUC